ACUAAAUGAUUAAUAGUUAAGUUCUUUAAAGUUAAAGAAUUUGGCGGUAUUUUAGUCUUUUCAGAGGAACCUGUUCUGUAAUUGAUAGUCCACGAUUAUAACUACUUUAGCUAUAAGUUUGCAUAUCGUUGUAGUUUGAAUAUUUUAAAAGAAAAGAAAUGUUCAAUAUAUUUAAUUAAAAUUUAAAUCAAAUCAAGGUGUAGUUUAUGUUAAAGAAGAAAUGGGUUACAUUAAUAGAAAAAAUUUAGGAUUAUUUUUGUAAAAAAAAUAUGAAUUUGGAUUUGAGAGUAAUUUUAUUUAUA
rnacentral:rRNA from 1 species